UUAAUUAAUAUUUUUGGUUUAUUUGAGUUAAUUUAUAUUUUUGAAUUUAAUAUAUUUAUUUUUAGGUGAAAUUUAAAUUUUUAUUAAUUUUAUUAAGAUUCUUUUAAAUAUAUAAUAUAAACUAGGAUUAGAUACCCUAUUAUAAUAUAUUUAAAUAUAUACCAGGGUAGUACUAGUUAUGUUCUUUAAACCUAAAGAAUUUGGCGGUGUUUUAGUCUAUUUAGAGGAAUUUGUUCCUUAAUCGAUAGUCCUCGUUAUAUCUUGCUUAUAUUUGUACUCAGUAUGUAUACCGCCGUUAUAAGUUUAUUUUUUAAAAACUAAAAUUUACUUUAUUUUUUAUUAAAAAUUAUUUC
rnacentral:rRNA from 1 species